AAUGCCUCCCUUAUGCUCAGUUCCACUAACUCCACCUCCUCUUGUCUGCAAACAGCUGGCGAGUGUCCUGCACCGUCAGCGAUGACGACAAGGAAGAGAUGACUGUGCCCUCAGGAGUCCACAGUCUAGUGAAGAAGAAACAAGAGGUGAAGUGACUCACCCAAGACAAACGUCAGCUGGUGGGAGAGCCUGGAUCAGACUCAGAUCUUCAGAUUUCCAUCCCACGUGCUUUCUCCUGCACACGCCAUCGCAGAAAACUCCAAUGGGCCUUUGGGAAACGCAGAGAUCACAUUUUCUGACGAUAUCUAACCUCAGUCUGUAAUCCAAGCACCAGGGUCAUCAGAAGACAAGGGAGGGACAGUGAGAAGGGAAAGCAGUCGAGAAUUGCAAAGCGGCAACAAGAGACAGUUUCCUGACAGGUCCUUCCCAUCGACAUAUAAACUGAUGAAGUCUGUCCUGUCUGUGAUGCCCUCAACUCCACGCCCCCAAGGCAAGCGCUGUUGCCUUCACUUCACAGCCAGACUUCUGGAAGGGUCCUGAGUGCUUUUCUCCACUUGCUGACGUCUCAGCUUACAUCUGUGUCACCUCUGCCACACCAGUGUGCUCACCAAGAUCGUUCCUGAGGGUCCCACGUUGUAAAAUCCAACGGACUCUGCUUGUGGCCUCUUGGAAGCAUUUACCACUGUCACCCACUUUCUCCUCUUUUGAAACACGCUCCUGCCCUGGCGGCUAUGACGCUGUACCCCCCUGGUUUUCCUCCUUCCAUCCCGCUCCCUCUUCUCAGUCUCCUCCACCGGCUCUCCUUCCUCGGCCCAGCGCCUCCCUCGCCUCUGUCCCAGGAUCUCCUCACUCUCCUCAAGGUAGCUCAGCUGCCCCUCGGCUUCACUCACCACCUGGGGGCCAACGGCCCGCAGACCGAUGUCUCUAACCAGAGCUCUCUCUCCAGCUGCUGACUGGACAACCUUGUCUGUGUCACACAAGUUUCUCAGACUCAGAAUAACCAAACCUAAACCCAUCGUAUCCCCUCUGCCCGCUCCUGCACGCCCUCUUCCUUCUCUCUGCUAAGACACCACUGUUUGCCCAAGACAAAAAGUGACUCUGGGUUUCUCUCUGCCUCGCCCUGUUCAGUCAUUACUGAGGCCUAUCUGUCUAUUUCACUUGACUCCACGGCCGUUAUCCCCACGCAGACUGCCAGCCAUUCCCACAAUGCAGCCACAGGGGUCUUUCACGGCAAGUCCGAUCAUGCCCCUUUGAUACUUAAAACUGAUUCAGAUUUCUCACUUCUGUUAGAAAAAAGUCCAAAUCUCUGACCAGGGCUUAUCGACCAGGGCUGACCUGUAUGUUUAGCUUCUUUCUUAUCACUCCCCAUCUCGCCUGCAGCCCUCCCGACUGAACAUCCGGUCCCAGAGUGGAUAGCCUCCCCGUCUAAGGUCUUAGGUUUCCCCCUCUUCUCACACCCACGCAGUACUGUGUGCCUUCCUUCACCGCCUCCCUGCUUUCCAGAAGACGUCCCAUUACACAAACCCGCAGGGACAACUCCCAGAACAGGUGCCAAGGCCGACCUAUCACCAGAGGAACAAGAAAAGCCCACGUUUCUCCAGAAGUCCACUGAUAGAGCAAAAAAGAGAGACAGGGAGAAAGAAAAACAAGUUCCCCUCACUAGCAGAAGGUCUAGGGUCACUUUUGCUCACAAGUGGGAAAACCAAGGCCCAUGGGUCAUCAGGGCCCCUGGCUCCCCUCUCCUGGAGGUGGUCUGCAGAGAUGGGCCCAAGGCGUGGGAAGGGGUUCUACCAUCACCGAUGACAUCUCUGAUUCAUUGUGUGAUGCAAAGAGCUUUCAAGAGGGCUAGUGAGGCUGUCUUACUCAGACUUCUGGCUAAUGAGCCAUCACUGGGCCGUGACUUACCUGCUGGCAAAUAGUGAGGAGGUUAUUAUUGAAUUUUGACAAGAUUUGGGGGAACUCUAAUAAACGAGAACUCCAAAACUCACACUGGCAGUGCCCUGACCUGGGAUCUAGCCGAGCCUUCCACACCCCUUCCUACCCCAUCUGUAAGAAACCCAUGCCUGCUCUUCCUGAACCUCUGAAGCCCAGCAAACCAUGUCUUCUGAAAGAGUCACGGCUUUGCUGGCCCCUAAAGCUUCCCCAGGCCCCAGAACGACAUUCCUGGGACUUUACCAGCAUUACAGAAACAGGCUCUAGCUUGUCCUCACUCCUGGAACCUCUCCUCUUGCUAGGAUUUGCUUAAGCAGGUCAGUUAUGUCUGACCAUUGGAACUGGAAACAAAUGUCUUGGCUGAACGCAGGAGAUCAGAACUUAUCGCUCCUAGGCAUUCAAGAGGCCCUCAGUAUGUUGGCUCGGCUCCUCCAGCCAGAAAUCCCAGAACCAGAUUGUCCUCGACCUUCGGAAUCCAUUUAUGGAGUUCACAGACUACAACUCAGAAAAGCACAGAACCCACCACGACCAGUAAUGACCAAUGCCUACGGUGAGUGUCCUGAGGAUGUAGGAGGGUGUGUUCCUGCGCCUCAGGGAAGGGUCGGGAGCCCAGUGACUUUCCCACGGCGUCUCUCAGAUUGGGGUACUUCUGAGGGUACACAAGCCCACAGGAUAAACUCGGCCCAUGCCCAGGGUUCCCACUCACUCUCCUCCGCCGUCAUGAUCCUCCAGCGGAAGAGUUUAAGAGGCAGUGAGUCCAAAGGAAUAAUGUUGCUUGCUAACCCCAAAAGGCUAUUCCCACCUGCCCUUUCAGGUCCCCAUGGUUCCCACAGAACUACAGUUACGACCCACGAGUAACACGCAGACUCAGUUCCCAACAUGUCUCCAGAAUUGCCUGAGUGGGUCACGACUGCCCCAUGUGCUUAUUCAUUCUUAAGUAUCUACGAGCCAAGCAUGAUAUUAAGUAUUGGAAGUAGAGGCUGAUGUCCUGAAAUAUGCUCAGAUGUAAGUCCCCAGGCCUUUUCUGUUGCUAAAGGCUAAUGGAAGGACAUCAGGACCAAGUUAAGCUUCCGGGAGCCCUGCACGGAGACCCUGGAGGGUGGAGGGCUCCCCCUUGACAUACCCAAGGACCAGCAGCCAUGAUACCUGAGUUUCAAUUCUGAAGAAAGAUUCCUUUCCAGAUAUUUCAACACUGACUGUGAAGUAGAUAUUACCCCCGUCUUGAGGCUUGGAGAGAUUAAGCAACUAGCCCAGGGUCACACAGAUAAGCGACAAAGCUGGCUUUGGAACGUGGCCGUGUCUGGCCCUAAAGCCCACACAUGC